GACGAACGCUGGCGGCGCGCCUAACACAUGCAAGUCGAACGGAGUCAAGAGGAGCUUGCUUUUCUUGACUUAGUGGCGAACGGGUGAGUAACGCGUGAGUAACCUGCCCUGGAGUGGGGGACAACAGUUGGAAACGACUGCUAAUACCGCAUAAGCCCACGGAUCCGCAUGGAUCUGCGGGAAAAGGAUUUAUUCGCUUCAGGAUGGACUCGCGUCCAAUUAGCUAGUUGGUGGGGUAACGGCCCACCAAGGCGACGAUUGGUAGCCGGACUGAGAGGUUGAACGGCCACAUUGGGACUGAGACACGGCCCAGACUCCUACGGGAGGCAGCAGUGGGGGAUAUUGCACAAUGGGGGAAACCCUGAUGCAGCGACGCCGCGUGGAGGAAGAAGGUUUUCGGAUUGUAAACUCCUGUCGUUAGGGACGAUAAUGACGGUACCUAACAAGAAAGCACCGGCUAACUACGUGCCAGCAGCCGCGAUAAAACGUAGGGUGCAAGCGUUGUCCGGAAUUACUGGGUGUAAAGGGAGCGCAGGCGGACCGGCAAGUUGGAAGUGAAAACUAUGGGCUCAACCCAUAAAUUGCUUUCAAAACUGCUGGCCUUGAGUAGUGCAGAGGUAGGUGGAAUUCCCGGUGUAGCGGUGGAAUGCGUAGAUAUCGGGAGGAACACCAGUGGCGAAGGCGACCUACUGGGCACCAACUGACGCUGAGGCUCGAAAGCAUGGGUAGCAAACAGGAUUAGAUACCCUGGUAGUCCAUGCCGUAAA
rnacentral:rRNA from 1 species